UUGGCAAAAAAUGUGGAGUUUUCUAGGCA
rnacentral:piRNA from 1 species